GAUGAACGCUGGCGGCAUGCCUAACACAUGCAAGUCGAGCGAACAGACGAGGAGCUUUCUCCCCUGGGGUUGGCGGGGGACGGGUGAGUAACACGUGGAUAACCUACCUCUAAGACUGGGGUAACUACGGGGAACAGGAUCUACUACCGGAUAAUAUAUCGAACCGGAUGGUUCAAUAGUUAAAGUCGGUUUUGCUUUGGCUAAUAGACGAAUCCGGGCCGGAUUAGUUAGUUGGUAAGGUAACGGCUUAGCAAGGCGACGAUGCGUAGCCGACCUGAGAGGGUGAUCCGCCACACUGUAACUGAGAAACGGUACAGACUCCUACGGGAGGCAGCAGUAGGGAAUCUUACGCGAUGGGGGAAAGCCUGAUGUAGCAAAACCGGGGGAGUGAUGAAGGACUUCGGAUCGGAAAGCUCUGUUGUUCGGAAAGAAGGAAAGCGUAAUUACCCGUGAUGGUAUUGACGGUACCUGAAGAAUAAGCCCCGGCUAACUCCGUG
rnacentral:rRNA from 1 species